ensembl:lincRNA 1700064M15Rik RIKEN cDNA 1700064M15 gene
AUGGCAGCGCAGCCGCCGCGCCUGAUGCUGGCGGCUUCUGCGAGAAGCUCGGGCCCUGAGCCCCGUGUGGGCGGCCCGGCGGCAGCCCCAGCUCGCCCAGAAUGGCCCAGCCACCGAGUCGCCCCUCCGGCGUAGCCGGAUCCCGUGCUCCGGUCCACGUCUACGGGGGCGGGUCACGGCUUGGAGACUUUCAGUUCCUGGGGACCGAGUUGAUCUUCCCGGCAAUGUCUAAACUCGGCAGAAACGUGCGUGCGCGCUCCCUCACGCGCACACACCAGCGGCCUUGAGGCUGUGCUUCUUUUACGCAAAUGUUUUCUCCUGAAAGACUUUUUUUUUUUUUAAAGUCUAAGAAAGAGUAUAUGCAGAAAACGGGUCAAAACAGAAGAGCAGUAUCAUUUACAUGGUGGAGGGGAGAAGAUUAAUUCUGAAAGUGCAACCAAGCAUCUGAAAACAACAGUCUCCUGUUUAGCUAGUAUUGGAGGAGAAAAACAACCAACCUACGCUACUAUGUAUACUUGAUAAAUUUUUCAUGGAAAGGGUGAAUCAGUGAAUCGACUUCGGAUUUGCUGGUUUAAAUAUGUUGACUGUUGAAACGACAGUGAAUGUUAUCAUUAAAUUAGCCCUUGUUAAUGUUUUCUCUUUGGUAA